AUCUUGUGAGUCUUCGAACAGCGGGAGGUGGCAAACGUUGGCAGAACUGGGGCUGUUUCCUCCUUCGCACUUKGUUUUAAAACAAGUUGGGGCCUUGCGACUUCCCAAGAAAAUCCCGGCAAAUUUGCUACGAGUUGCUUGGGCCGCGACUUUUGAGAAGUAUUUUAACCCCAGCCGCUGAAGUCGUGGGGGAGUUCSUUUUCUCCGCGGGGCCGCGGUGCUCUCAGCCCGGGUGAGGCUGGCGCGCGGGUGGGAGGCCCGGGACGCGCUCUGGCGAUCACUGGGGCAGAGCAAGUUGCUCCAGGGGUGACUGCACUGGCCUGGGCGCGGGAGAGGGGGGCACUUGUCCUGCAAAGCUGCGUUUCAAUCCAGUCAUCUUUCCUCUUGUCUCCUGGUCUGACCCCGCAGUCCGCCACUGCCCGCGCUGGAGCACCGCGCCCUUGGCCACGGGAGCCCAAGUAAAAGGCUAGAUUCGAGGCAGCGGGCGGAGCCGGGACCAACGGGGCGGUGACUGAGCGGCGGGCCCCGCCCGGCCCCGCCCGCCGCACUCGGGCGCCUCUCUCAAGCCCGGCGGGACCAAGGGACUGACCGACCGACGCGGGCCACCCCGCUCUCCUCGCCGCCAAAGGCGGCGGGCGCGGGGCGGCGCGGAGAGGCCUGAUCCCUGCAGCACUGGCGCGCAGCGUUGCAGAGCRGAGCAAGCCAGACGCACCAGGACUCCUGCAGGAUAGUGCCUGCUGUAAAGCAUCUCUGGGUGAAUGAAAAAGAAAGAAGCUCAUGAUUUCUACACAUGACCCAGGAGCACCUUGGCUGAGGAUUCUGCGUCUUGCCAAUCUGUGAGAGUGGUUUCCCAGMGGRUGCUUGGCUUGUACAACCAGAGAACAGGAUUCUUCUCUUCUUUCUGGCCACUCAAUGCCUAUGUGCACUCCACGUUCCAAAGAGGGAAGAAGGGCGAAGCUUCUUGGAUGACAAUGGACGUUCUACUGUGCAGGAUGAGGGCAGAGUGUGUGACAUCGCCACCACAAGGGCUCCAACAGUCUGACUUCUUUUCGAGCGCCACACUCUCUUCCUGGAGCAGAGAUCAGAGAUGA
rnacentral:lncRNA from 1 species